GGUUAAGUUAUAAAGGGCGCAUGGUGAAUGCCUUGGUACUAGGAGCCGAUGAAGGACGGGACUAACACCGAUAUGCUUCGGGGAGCGGUAAGUACGCUUUGAUCCGGAGAUUUCCGAAUGGGGAAACCCAGUCAUCUUAGUCGAUGACUACUUGCUAGUGAAUACAUAGCUAGUAAGGGGAAGACGCAGUGAACUGAAACAUCUUAGUAGCUGCAGGAAGAGAAAGAAAAUUCGAUUCCCUGAGUAGCGGCGAGCGAAACGGGAAUAGCCCAAACCAACGAGCUUGCUCGUUGGGGUUGUAGGACUGAACUUUGGAGUUACCAAAGAGCAACGUAGUCGAAACAGCUGGGAAGCUGUACCAGAGAUGGUGAUAGUCCAGUAGACGAAACGUUACUCUCUCCGUUCAGGAUCCUGAGUACGGCGGGACACGUGAAACCCCGUCGGAAUCCGCGAGGACCAUCUCGCAAGGCUAAAUACUACCUAGUGACCGAUAGUGAACCAGUACCGUGAGGGAAAGGUGAAAAGCACCCCGGGAGGGGAGUGAAAUAGUUCCUGAAACCAUGUGCCUACAAGCUGUCGGAGCCCGUUAAUGGGUGACGGCGUGCCUCUUGCAGAAUGAACCGGCGAGUCAUGAUUACGUGCAAGGUUAAGGUGGAAAAACCGGAGCCGUAGCGAAAGCGAGUCUGAAAUGGGCGUACGAAGUACGUAGUUAUGUACCCGAAACCAGGUGACCUACCCAUGUCCAGGAUGAAGGUGCGGUAAAACGCACUGGAGGUCCGAACCCGUGUCAGUUGAAAAUGGCUGGGAUGAGGUGUGGGUAGCGGUGAAAUUCCAAACGAACUUGGAGAUAGCUGGUUCUCUCCGAAAUCUCUUUAGGGGGAGCCUCGGGGUCGAGAAUCAUGGAGGUAGAGCACUGUUUGGUCGAGGGGCCCGUCAUGGGUUACCGACAUCAGAUAAACUCCGAAUGCCAUUGAUUUAUACCCGGGAGUCAGACGGUGAGUGAUAAGAUCCAUCGUCGAAAGGGGAACAGCCCAGAUCACCAGUUAAGGUCCCUAAAUAUAUGCUAAGUGGAAAAGGAUGUGGAGUUGCAUAGACAACUAGGAUGUUGGCUUAGAAGCAGCCACCAUUUAAAGAGUGCGUAAUAGCUCACUAGUCGAGUGAUUCUGCGCCGAAAAUGUACCGGGGCUAAGCAUAUUACCGAAACUGUGGAUGCAUCGUAAGAUGCGUGAUAGGAGAGCGUUCUAAGGGCGACGAAGUCAGACCGUGAGGACUGGUGGAGCGCUUAGAAGUGAGAAUGCCGGUAUGAGUAGCGAAAGACAGGUGAGAAUCCUGUCCACCGUAUGACUAAGGUUUCCUGGGGAAGGCUCGUCCACCCAGGGUUAGUCGGGACCUAAGGCGAGGCCGAGAGGCGUAGUCGAUGGAUAACAGGUUGAGAUUCCUGUACCAGUUAAUUUCGUUUGAACGAUGGAGGGACGCAGUAGGCUAAGCAAUCCGGACGAUUGGAAGUGUCCGGCCAAGCAGUAAGUCAGGUUGAGAGUGAAAUGCUUUCA
rfam:Lactobacillus equigenerosi DSM 18793 = JCM 14505 strain DSM 18793 NODE_62, whole genome shotgun sequence.